rnacentral:rRNA from 1 species
ACUCAAAUGAAUUGACGGGGACCCGCACAAGCGGUGGAUGAUGUGGUUUAAUUCGAUGCUACGCGAAGAACCUUACCAAGGCUUGACAUCCUGGGAAUCCUGGCGAAAGUCGGGAGUGCCUUCGGGAACCCAGUGACAGGUGUUGCAUGGCCGUCGUCAGCUCGUGUCGUGAGAUGUUGGGUUAAGUCCCGCAACGAGCGCAACCCUUAUCGUCUGUUGUAAUUUCAGGCGAGACUGCCCCGGCCAACGGGGAGGAAGGUGGGGAUGAAGUCAGGUCAGCAUGGCCCUUACGCCUUGGGCUACACACGUCAUACAAUGGCCGGUACAACGCGUUUGCCAACCCGCGAGGGGGAGCUAAUCGUACCAAAACCGGUCUCAGUUCGGAUUGAAGGCUGAAACUCGCCUCCAUGAAGUCGGAAUCGCUAGUAAACGUGGGUCAGCAUACCACGUUGAAUACGUUCCCGGGUCUUGUACACACCGCCCGU